GAUACCUUUUCGGAAAGCCCAAAGAUAGCCCUCCGACGAAAUAAGCAGGACAAUGGAACUUUUCCAUUGACUUUUUGUCGACUCCAAAUUUUGACCUUUAAGUACUUUUUCGGGCAUUUUCGUGAUUUGUGCUAUAUUACGGACCCAAAAUUACUCUUUCAAGCAUUGUUUUCGAAUAUUUUUCAUGCAUCAAAGCUCGUUAAGACUAGAUGGGGUAUCCCUACAUAGCGGGUGGGACCCACGGCGAAUGGUUCAUCAACUCUUCAAAAAAGAAUAUAUACGAUUGCAUUGCAUAUACUUACGGAUGCGAUCAUACCAGCACUAAUGCACCGGAUCCCAUCAGAACUCCGCAGUUAAGCGUGCUUGGGCGAGAGUAGUAACUAGGAUGGGUGACCUCCCGGGAAGUCCUCGUGUUGCAUCCCUCUUUUUUUUUUUUUUUUUUGGUUAAAACUUUAUGACUCUAUAACUUCUACACAG
rnacentral:rRNA from 1 species